ensembl:lncRNA
CAUGUCUGAGCGUACAGAAGGUAACUGAUUACUAUGAACAUCCAAGAACGAUUAUGACAGGAAGUUUACAUAAUGGUAACAGUAUCUGUCAUACUUUGCCAUUCUCCCACAUGUGAUAUCUGAUGUCUGACAGUGACUCACGGGCCACAGAUCUCAUGUGGCUGCUCAGUUAGGUAUGACUGAAAGACAAACCCAGGAUCAUGUAGAUGGCGCGCACGUGUGUCCCAGUGCUGACGGAGGAGUGGGUGUUUAUUGGUGCUGGUGGCAGACACCUGUGUGCAUCACCAAUCGAGGAAAGCACAUGGACACAGAGUUACAUCUUUAUAAAACUGUGAUUUUGAGAUGCCUGGAAAGAGAAGUGAUGCUUCGCCAUCCCCCCUCCUACUUGGACAUAAUUCAUCUCAUCUGAAGCACUGAAGUCCAGCCAGACAUUGUUCCCAAACAAGGUAUCAAGGCACUGGUUGCAUUUCAACCAUUUUCAGUCUGGUUGCAAACUCCCCUGCUUGCAGAAAAGAGGGCACCAUCCUGAGCUCAAAGGGAAUGCACAGGCAUAUUCAUCUCCUUCUCCUGCUUACCUAGAGGGGACACCCGGGGAGCCUCAUCCCAGAGGUGUGCAGCUGGAUUCAUCCCAGACCUCACACAUGAAUGAAGUUCAACCAGCUUUACCAUGCCUUCUACUGUGGAAUAGCAAGGACGUGUAGUGGUCAUUAAAUUGACUUGGACCAGCUUGGAUCAUCUUCCUCAUAAAGACUGAAACUGUGAAAAAUCAGAGUGGAAAUUAAAAAAAAAUGAGGUAACAAAACAGUCAUCCAAACUUUGAUGUCCAGUCAGAGUCAGCUACCACUAGGUACUUCGUAGAUCUCAUUUGAGCUGCGCUUCAAGUUAGACAUGGGCUGACUUGGAGCCUCUGGUUCAGAUAUCACCCAAACAGCGCAGCAUCGCAUUGCAGCCAGCUGGGAAGCUAAUGGUCCAUCAGCACUUGCCCACAGUUGGAAAGAAGCUUACUGAAGCUGCCUGUCAGUAACUCCAUGCAAACAUGGUUGUUCCGGCUCAAGGUUUGGAGCUAGCUCAUUCAGUGCCUCUCUGGGGAUUUCUGCACCACGCCUUCAUUCCUGGUGUAGACAUGUCCCAGGUCUAUCAUAAUUUUCAUCUGCCAAGCAUUCAGACAAAAUAAUUAACUUUGCUUUGCUGGCACACAUUCUUUACUCUAAAUUAUUUGUAUCAAAGAGCACUAUUUCAACAAAAUCUUUAUAUUUAAAUUGCGAAAAAUAAACAUGAGAAUUCUUAACAGUAACACUGAUUACAAAUGCAGAAAGGUUUGGCUGUUCUGGCACAGAAAGAUAAUUAAGAGGAAUUUUAAGGGUUUUCUCUGUAACAGGUAGAGAUUUAGCAGUAUUUUGUAUUAAUCACCUUGCAGACACAGUACCGCUGCACACUGCAAAAUAAAUGACCAGAAGGCUUAAUGUUUUUUGUGUUCUUUUUAAAGUGAUUUCAUAUUGCAAACUCAUGCCAAAAGGUUUAUUUGUUUCUGAGUUUCUGGCUCUGUGGACUGUUAUCCAUGCUGUGAAUGUACAACUCUGUUUGUCCACACAGUUACUGAAGUGCCUUUGAACAGUUUGCAGGUGCCAUUGUAACCUCUCUUUUUUUGGUUCCAAAAAAUGCUUUUGACAGCUACUGAUCAGUCCAUUUUAGCUGCCUACAAUUCUGUAUCUGCUGUAAUUAUUACUGAGAUUAACAAAAAACUGUCUCUUUUCAGACUAGGAGUAUCUUUUGCAUGAGAGCAUACCUGCUGUAGGAGUGUUAUGCAACACCGCUUGUGAUCAGUGGAGGAGUAUUACCGGUCACUUCCUUACACUCUGAAUGAAAUCUUAACUUCAGUAAUGGGCUUUCUCACAUCUGCUACCCAUAUCUGGACUAUUUGAGCCCCCAGACAGCUUCAAAAGUUAUAACGGUUGAACUCCACAGAUGAGAAAAUAGAAAGUGAAAAGAGAAGAGAGAACAAGUCAAAACAAUCAAUUCAAAGCAAGCUGCUUUUGAAAAGAUCAACAUUAAAUGUCUUCAGAAGACUUCAUCUCAAAGUUUUGACACAGGCAAACUCUAAAAUCCCGGAAUAUACAGCAGAAAAGAAGUCAGCAGCCUUUGUCAACAAGCAGCACAUAAAUGGGAAUUAUUUCAGUGGCAUCAAAAUUUUAACCUCUGUGACUGUGCCUUUCUAGGGAUAAUUUGAGUUGCUCACGGACCGGCACUUUUUUGUGUGCUCAUGCAAGGCCUCCUGUUCUUCCAGUUUCCCUUAUCACGUCGGCUGCCACCAACCUUUCUGAUUGUAUCCUGAAGGAAUUUCUCAAUGCACUCUGAGUGUUUCACAUGGCUUUCUAUUGUUUUUUAUUUAGCAAUAGAGAAGAGUUUUGUUGCACAAGACUUCUCUAUUGAUGUGUAAACAUUGAUAGCUGCUGAAAAAACAGUGCCUGGUCUGGCACAGGGAAAGUCCUUUCAGUCUGGCUGUAUAUCACAAAUAAGAGGAUGUUCACUGGGCAGAUUUAGCUGAUGUUUUAUUUUCCUCUAAAUAUCCUCCUAAUAACAGCACCUUUUAAGUGACUUCAGAAAGAAAUAAUGCUCAGUGCAAAGAGCCAAGGAUAAUAAAGUUGUGAGAAACGUGUUUGUACAGCACAAUGAAAUCUCUGCCGGAUUACAAACUAAGUGAUUCCCUAGAAACACCUACAAUAAACAACGUUGGGUGUGAAUAGCUCUUUCUAUAACACCCAGCAGUCUGCAGAAUUAAGAAGGUAUCACUGUGUAGCCCAUAUUUAAAUAUACAUAUAUGGAGUGAGAAAGUUUACAAAAGAAAUGAGUGAUUUUAUGAGGAAAUGAUUGCAAACACAAAAGACAGAGACCUACAGACACUUAAAACAUGGUAUCCUAUAGGGUAACCAAUACACUGACAUGGUAUCAGAAAAAGAAGUUAGACAUUAUGAGUUUAGCAUAUGCCCAAAAUAUAUGAGGGGGAAAAUGGGUGUUUGAUACAUAGUGCAAAAAAGUUCUGAACAAUGCACUCUGUGCUGCAUUUCUCUGCAAGAUAGCAGCUACUUCAAUGAAGCUUUCCAAAAAUGUUGAAACAGGUACAGCUUUUACUGCACUAUUUAAUGCUGAGAGAAUCAUUUGUGGCUGUGGCAUGUGAAAUAACUGGAAUAUUUGUGCCACUGAAACAUGGUCAGUGUUCUGCUACUAAAAACAGUUAUAUUUUAUUAGAAACUCGCUGGUAAUAGAAUGAUCAGUGAGCUGUGAACGCGUGUGUAAAUAAUGAACUCAGAGUGCACAGCACUUCCAAUUUCAGGAAAUAAAUCAUAUUCUGAGUUAUUUAAUUAAAUGGAAGUAUGUACGAACCCUCUGUCUGUAAAGUAAUUUCAUUUGGUAUUUGAGAAAGUUUUCACAACAGUAAUUAUUUUAGAUACGCAGAAUACGUACUCUGAGAAAUGUGGGUUAUUUGGUGAAGAAAACCCCCACAGAAAAUUGCAUACUUUGAAGACUAUGCUUCUUAAAGAAAAAAUAACACAAUAAAAUCUGGGGAAAAAAAAAGACCACUCGAGGGAUGUGGGGCCAUUCUGAAAGUGAGGGGAGCAGCCCCUCUACCAGCUCUGCCCCCAGGGCACGCAGCACCUGCUACCCCUCAGUGGUGGCGUCCACCCGCUCAAUCUCAGCCUGGAGCCCAGCAAGGGCAGAGCCUCUCAACUUCCCCAAACAUCUCUGUUUUGAGAAACACGCGUUCUUUCCGGUGGAAAGAUGUUUUCUUGUAAAAUUCCCAACCGGCUGUAAUCAGGAGCUACGCCUAUUUCCUUCCAGAGGUUGUUUCCUACAACAAAGCAGCACAGGUUGCAGCGCUGUGACAAGGACGUCUUUAACGCAGAGAACGUCAGGCGACUGCUUCCCAUCCCCGCGUGCCCGGCCAGGCAGGAUCCGGUUGUUCAUUCUCCUUAUGCCAUGCUGUAAAAGCAAACAUACUGAAUUUGCUGCAGAAGAUACUGAAUGAAAACACAGUGAUGUAAAUCUAGAUAUACCUGCAGACACAUUUAUUCAUGAUGUGUAUUAAGAGCUCAAAGC